CUUUUUUUUUGGUUUUGCCUCAGUUCUUCAGAAAUAUUUUCGUAUUCAUACCAUGUUACUUACCUACCAGUCCCAUGCAAAAAUCUAAUUAAAAGUUAAAGCUCAGCAUAAAACAAAACAACACAAUAAUAUUAAUGGACAAACCUAUGCAGAGAGGGGGGCAGAAGAGAAAUGUACCAAGCUAAUGAAGACAAGGGUAGAAGCAUCAAACAAAUAAGGAACAAUCACACUAGACAUUCACUUAGAUCGAUCAUCCAAUAUUCUGAGAGCAGGACAAGACAACGCCACCUAUACUACAACCGAAGUGCUUCAGAACCUCUGGCGAAUCAAGAUGGUGUCCAGCUGGUGAACAAGAUAAUAUAUUCAUAAUUAUAUUUAAUAAC